rnacentral:pre_miRNA from 1 species
AUAAUACUACCUCCGUCCGGAAUUACUUGUCAUAAAAAUGGAUGUGUCUAGAACUAAAAUACAUCUAGAUACAUCCAUUUCAAUGACAAGUAUUUUUGGACGGAGGGAGUAGUAG